AUGUUCUCAGAGCACUGAUGACGCAGGAGCUCAACAGACUGUCAGACUGAGGAACCUGCUGACCAAACACCCACUGCCCAAACCUGCUGUAAACACAGUGGAAGUAAAGGUGUCGCCCCCUGCUGUGCUGGAGGAGCAGGUGCGCAUAAGUUCAGAGCCGUCCAGCAGGAUCCAGCAGCAUAGCGGAGGACGAAACCUGAAGCGCAAGAGGCAGAAGAAGGAGAAACCACCACGCAAGAAGAGGAGAGUGCGCGUGCAGAGGCAGAGACAGGCUCAGGAUGAGACAGAUCAGCGUGCGCUGCUACACAUGACCAGACAGAGAGUGGCCUGGACACACACCGAGGACAGCCUGCUGAUGCUGUGCCGCGUCGCCAGCAACUUCCUCAACCGAAAGGUGC